rnacentral:tRNA from 1 species
AUAAGGUGGCCGAGAGAAUAGGCAUUAGAUUGUAAGUCUAACAACAAGUUAAACUUUCUUAUUGG